rnacentral:lncRNA from 1 species
CACUAUAAUCGUCAAGACUUCUACUAUGUGGCUAACGAGAAGAGAGAAGGGCAUGAAAGAAAUACGUCAAGGCUUGAGCGUGAAGGAAAGAAGUAAUGUAGGGGAGCAAACUAAAAGAAGAGGAGGAUCUUCUUGGGAAGAAAGAAGAAAGGAGGAGGGCCAAAGUAAAAAAAGACAGAACAGAGGAGGGGAUCAAAAAUCCCUAGCGCAGCCGAUCCCCAUCAGGCCUGCAUCUCACCUCUCUCCCUCACCCCUCCUUCUCCACCACCGGCCGUCGCCGCGGCCAGGCCGGCGUGGCGGUGCGCCUGCUGCUCCUCCACUCAGCCACGAGCACCAUCCGCCGCACCAUCCAUCCAUCCCAGCCGCGCCGUGCCAUCCAUCCACCACUCCACCAGCGUCACUAGCUCCACUUCACCACCGCGCCUCACCAGCGCCCACCUCGCGCGCCCCUCCUGCCGCUUCCUCUCUGAACCCGCUGUUGCUGCUGCAUCUUCCUUCUUCCUCUCGACCUCCUGUUGCUCUUCUCCAAGCACCGCUGCUGCUCCUUCCUUGCAACCCCCCUGCUGUUGUUCAUCCUCUCCACCUCCUUGCGCCUCCCUGCCGGUACCCUUCUCUGCUCAAAACUGCUGCUGCUUGUGCACUCCAGCUUCUCCUUCUUCUCCUGCCUACUGCUGGUUCUUCUUCCCCACAUCACUUUUGCUGCUCCUCUUCUCUGCCUCGCUACUGUUCUUCUUACCUGAACCUCAAAAUUGCUGCUGUUCUCUUCUAAACAACAAAACUGCUGCUACUACUACCUCAACCUCCUAUUGCUUUCUUUCUUUCUCACUCUCUUUUAAAUUUCUGUAAGAUUGAGACGCAUGUGAUUUGUAUUAUUCAGAUUUGAUAAGUGUUAGUAAUCUACUGUUGUUCAGUUCAGACUUCCUGUGUGUGUUAAUUAGUUAAAAUUGUCACUUGUGUACUGCUUGUUGCAGAUUCUUGCUCAUUUUUGUUGUCUAUGUGUUAGCUCAUGCAUCUGAGAAUUAUAAAGACAUAUGUGUGUGUGGUUGAUGUGAAACAAUUAUAUAUAUGUCUCAUGUUUGUUAGUUAGUGGUUUGUAUAAAUUCAGAUUACUACUUGUGAUUUAAUUUUGUAUUGAAAUUGUUCUCUGUGGUAGUCAGUUGUGUGAUCAUUCAAUUUUCAGUCUAUGUAUUAGCUCUGUACCUGUAAUAUAUGUUGUGACAUGAAGCAUUUUCAUCCUUGUCCAUUAUCUUGUUUCUUCACUCUGUCAUACGCUUGUUAGAUAAAUAUAUGUGUUCAUGUCCUGUUGUUCCCUUUUGUGUUAGCAUUUUAGUUUCUCAAGUAACAGGAAAACACCAAAAAAGACAAUAUAGACAAUCUGAACCUCCCCUUUGCUUAUUUUACAUUUUCUUUGGCGACGAUCUUCGGGAACUACCUUGUUAGUUUAGGUUUAUUUUCUUGCAUUUAUAAUCUGAGUUCUGUCACCUAGCUUUAGCCGAGCAUUGUUGCUGUCGCCUAGUCCCUGUGGAGAACACGACACUCACAGUUCGGGUGAAAUAUCCCGCAGUACUUUCAAUCGAUCAUUUUGGCGCCGUUGCCGGGGACUAGCGUCGUGUGACCGUGUUAGGCUAUAGACUAGGUUUUGCUUCUGUUUCUAUCUGGUGCCAUAUAUUUGUGAUAUAUCUCUUACCCCUAACCACUGUUCUAGUUAUCUUCUCUUUCUUUUCUUGUUCAUUUUGUAGGUUGAAUUGUCUUCUCGGAUAUGGCUUACUAUUCAGAUCAUCAUGCUUAUGCGAGCAACACUACAAACAACACGGAAAGUAUUCAAGAACUGAUAAGUAAGAUUUCCCAUCAAUUAGAUGAUUUAGCUCAGCAGCGAGGAGUAGUUUUUGAGGAUAGGCCUAGUUCUUAUUAUCCUUAUUCCGGAAGCAAUCCUUAUGUUGCUCCUACAUGCCAUAUUUGUGGAUUUCAGGGCCAUUCGCCCGCUGAAUGUCAGCGUGGUUACUCUCACACUCCAGAUUGUUUUGGCAUGAGCUUCGCUCAAGAGCAUAGCUCAUACCAAAACAAUUACUCACAUGGGUGUCCUGAAAACCCGAAUAUGUCAUAUAGGAGCAACAACCCCGAGAUCUCACCGCUUGCUUCUAGUAAUCAUAUGCAGGGAUUUAGGUAUGAAGAGGAGAGCCACAGCUAUGCUCCACAACAGUCUUAUUCAGCUCCUAUUCAUAUACCUCAGCACGAGGAGAUGUUGCCAAUGGAGUUAAAUGGUCCUCCAUUUGGUCAACCAACACCUUCAACACAAGUGCCUACUCAAGAUGAGUUUGAUGACAUAGACAAGUUCACACUUUUGAGUCUUGAGUUCAGUUGGAGUGCCGAGGAUGAUCCUAUUAGGAAGGUUAUACUAGAUGAAAUGAAGAAGAUCAAGAGUGGGAAUGAGCUAGUGGAAGAAGUAAAGAAGAUUGAGAAGAACAUCAACGCUGGCAGCUCUAUUUCUUCACAGCUAGAGCUGAGUGUUGCUGAGAUUCCCCUUGAUACAUGUGAGGUUCCAACACCUUCACAUUUCGUUGAGCAAGUUAGCAAGUGCCUUGAGCAAGAGAUACCUCAGAUUGAAGAAGAUGAACUAGAAGACAAGGACCAAGAUGGUCAAGAGCUGCAAUUCCCAAGUGAUCAAGUUGAAGACUCAUCAUCUACUACUGAAGAACUACAAGAAGCUGCUGUAGAUAAAGAUGAAGAUCAUGAGAUUCAUUUGCCUAUUGUCAUACCAGAGCGUGAUGUGUCAGGUUUACUCAAUCCUCUUGAUGACAUGAUGCCUUGUGAUUUCUUUGCUACUACCUUGCUUUACAUGAUACUAUCACUUAAGAUUGAUUUGAAAACUCAUUUGCUUGGAUAUGAUGAUAUAUACCCUGUUAGUGGUAUUACUCUCAUUUGUGAUGAUCAUAGUUACUUUCCUCGUGCUAAUCCUAUGCUUAAUGAAACAUAUCACUCCCAUGCUAGUCUUGCACUUAAUGAUAAAUGUCAUCCUCGUGUGAGUAUUGACCAUGCUGAUUUCUGCCAUCCUAAACAUGUGCUUUAUAGUUAUGCUUAUAUAAUUGGAUAUUCCAUUGAUGACUUGGAGGGCAUCGACCGUAUCACUUGUAGUUGUUUGUGUGAGUCCUAUUUCAGGCUUUUGCUACUGCACUGUUUACUACAUGCUGACCAGGUUUGAGGUGACAUUCCUUGGGAUCCUGGUGGAGUCACAGCAUGGCGAUGAGGGGAGCACAAACAGGGAACACAAACAGAGAAGAGUGGAGAGAAGAAAGUAGGAGAGAAGAGUAUACAAAUACCAGGUGAUUCUGUUCCACUUGAAGCAACCUUUAGAAAAUUUAGUACGAGAACUGGCAUUUUAUUGCAUUGAAACGCUUUUUGCAUUGUGACACCUUACUCUUCACUGCAAAGUAGGAUUCACUCCAAGAAGAUUGUUGAUUCUCUUAAUACUAAAACUAUGCAGCAGUAUUCUUCUUAUGGUAAUUUGUGAUAAUGAAUACUUUAUACCUCCAUGUAAAUGUUCAAUGGGAAUGCCUUGAGUCUAAGUGAAACCUACUAAUGAAUUGAUGUGCUGUGUCUGACUGUCCCACGUUAAGCUAAGUAACUGGUGGCACUUAAGUAGUAGCUAUGAUCUCUGGAUCUGUAGUAUGUGAAAAACAGUGCCAUUAGUUAUGGAUUCCUCUUUCAAUUAUUCCUGUUUUACUUAAGCUAAGUAAUUUUCAAAUAACUAAAUAAAAUAAUUAUAAUAUUUUAAGUCCGAUCGACCUAUAGUAGCAUGUCAUGUUCCCUGGAUCGGUGGCUUGUGAAAUCUGGUAGAUUGGACUCUAAAAAAAAAUUAUAUAAAAAUGCUAUAAUUUGUCGAACCAGGUGUAUACCAUGUUCUCGGGAUCGGUGGUAUGUUCCUUUGGGGAGAUAACAAAAAAAUAUACUAAUAAUUUGGUCGAGCCAGGUGUAUACCAUGUUCUCGGGAUCGGUGGUAUGUUCCUUUGGUGAGACUGAUAUAAUAUCAUCACUUGUGCUUUAAAUUCAAUAAGUAACUUGUUUUUCUAAUUGAUUUUGGGGUCCCAGCUUAUCUCAGGGCUGAAGACAGAGCCAGCUCUUGAUUAUUAGUAUUCACUUUGACUCAAGGCCAUUGACUUGGAACAUUUACAGUGUGUUAUAAAAUAUUUCUUAUCACAAUUUAGCUUCAGUAGAGUACAUUUGCUUAGUUCCAGUAUUGUCGGAAUUACUAUCUAUCGGAAAGUGCAUAUUUACUAGGCAGUGUGAGUUGUGUCACCAUCAAAUUUUUUUUCCUUUGCUCGAGGACAAGCAAAGAUUUAAGUGUGGGGGAACUUGAUAAGCACAUUUCUUAUAUACUAUUUGGGCACACAAAUUCACCUUUUAUUGAGAUAUAUCCAUCCAUUCUUGCUAUGACUUGUUGAAUAUUUGAAUGAUAACCAUAAAAGAGAAUGUUGACUAGUGAAUUGUUUAUUUUGCAGAAAAGUGCGCAAAUGCACUAUAAUCGUCAAGACUUCUACUAUGUGGCUAACGAGAAGAGAGAAGGGCAUGAAAGAAAUACGUCAAGGCUUGAGCGUGAAGGAAAGAAGUAAUGUAGGGGAGCAAACUAAAAGAAGAGGAGGAUCUUCUUGGGAAGAAAGAAGAAAGGAGGAGGGCCAAAGUAAAAAAAGACAAAACAGAGGAGGGGAUCAAAAAUCCCUAGCGCAGCCGAUCCCCAUCAGGCCUCGCAUCUCACCUCUCUCCCUCACCCCUCCUUCUCCACCACCGGCCGUCGCCGCGGCCAGGCCGGCGUGGCGGUGCGCCUGCUGCUCCUCCACUCAGCCACGAGCACCAUCCGCCGCACCAUCCAUCCAUCCCAGCCGCGCCGCGCCAUCCAUCCACCACUCCACCAGCGUCACCAGCUCCACUUCACCACCGCGCCUCCACCAGCGCCCACCUCGCGCGCCCCUCCUGCCGCUUCCUCUCUGAACCUGCUAUUGCUGCUGCAUCUUCCUUCUUCCUCUUGACCUCCUGUUGCUCUUCUCCAAGCACCGCUGCUGCUCCUUCCUUGCAACCCCCCUGUUGUUGUUCAUCCUCUCCACCUCCUUGCGCCUCCCUGCCGGUACCCUUCUCUGCUGAAAACUGCUGCUGCUUGUGCGCUCCAGCUGCUCCUUCUUCUCCUGCCUACUGCUAGUUCUUCUUCCCCACAUCACUUUUGCUGCUCCUCUUCUCUGCCUCGCUACUGUUCUUCUUACCUGAACCUCAAAAUUGUUGCUGUUCUCUUCUAAACAACAAAACUGCUGCUACUACUACCUCAACCUCCUGUUGCUUUCUUUCUUUCUCACUCUCUUUGAAAUUUCUGUAAGAUUGAGACGCAUAUGAUUUGUAUUAUUCAGAUUUGAUAAGUGUUAGUAAUCUACUGUUGUUCAGUUCAGACUUCCUGUGUGUGUUAAUUAGUUAAAAUUGUCACUUCUGUACUGCUUGUUGCAGAUUCUUGAUCAUUUUUGUUAUCUAUGUGUUAGCUCAUGCAUCUGAGAAUUAUAAAGACUGUGUGGUUGAUGUGAAACAAUUAUAUAUAUGUCUCCUGUUUGUUAGUUAGUGGUUUGUAUAAAUUCGGAUUACUACUUGUGAUUUAAUUUUGUAUUGAAAUUGUUCUCUGUGGUAGUCAGUUGUGUGAUCAUUCAAUUUUCAGUCUAUGUAUUAGCUCUGUAC